rnacentral:sRNA from 1 species
AGAAUCACCAAAAGUUGAAGUCCCUCAAAUCCAAUCACCAAAAGUUGAGGUUCCUCAAUCUAAAUUAUUAGGUUACUACCAAUCAUUAAAAGAUUCAUUUAACUAUGGUUACAAGUAUUUAACAGAUACUUAUAAAAGCUAUAAA